rnacentral:rRNA from 1 species
GACGAACGCUGGCGGCGUGCCUAAUACAUGCAAGUUGAGCGCUGAAGGUUGGUACUUGUACCAACUGGAUGAGCAGCGAACGGGUGAGUAACGCGUGGGGAAUCUGCCUUUGAGCGGGGGACAACAUCUGGAAACGAAUGCUAAUACCGCAUAAAAACUUUAAACACAAGUUUUAAGUUUGAAAGAUGCAAUUGCAUCACUCAAAGAUGAUCUCGCGUUGUAUUAGCUAGUUGGUGAGGUAAAGGCCCACCAAGGCGAUGAUACAUAGCCGACCUGAGAGGGGGGACGGCCAAAAUGGGACUGGGACACGGCCCAAGCUCCUACGGGGGGCAGCAGUAGGGGAACUUCGGCAAUAGACGAAAGUCUGACCGGGCAACGCCGCGGGAGUGAAGGAAGGUUUCGGAUCGUAAAACUCUGUUGGUAAAGAAGAACGAAAGUGGGAGUGAAAAGCUCAUCAAGUGACGGUAACUACUCAGAAAGGGACGGCUAACUACGUG